GUAUAAAACAGUACGUGUUUCAGUGUGGCUGUGUGGUGCUGUACACUAUACCCUUCAGGGAUAAAACAACUGGCUCCUCAGAGAUGGUGCAGUACAAAUGAACCUGCUAGAAAAAGACACACAAGAACUGCAGAAACCAACAAGAUGAUGCCCACAAUUACUCCACAACCAGCUGCAACUACUACAAACUUCCAUAUCCACUUUUCUGCUUUGAAACAACAUAUACAUAAACAUGUGUCAGUACUGCUACUCACAACAUCAACAAGCAGGAAGACAUGUACUGUCCAUAACUACAGUAUUUUAACCAUCAGUAGUGAAGAGUCUGUUUCUUCAAGGCACAAAAACACAUUAACCUUAAUGUUGUCUUGUUUUGUACUAGGAGUACAGAUAUUAAGCAGCACAGCGAUGUCAUAUGCUGAUAACAAUUUGAUUUUACUUGAACAAUGCAGGCUAACAUCUGCACACUAGGAAGGCUAACUUCACAUACGCAUAAGCGACUGCACAUCAUCUCACACUUUCAGAGUAACCAAUCAACCAUUGCUUCAGUCUGCACUUGGACUGAAAUUCAGAGUAAUCACUUUUUACAAACGUGAAUAUAUUGUAUAAUCAACAUUUUCUGAUGAGUCAGAGUAAAUCACUGAGCAUACACAGAAUAAUCAUGUCACCUGAUGUUGGUUUUUCUGGUGUUAGAGAAGUAGAAGUGGAACCACCAGUAUUACUUGGCGUACCAACAGUCCAACCUGGUGAAUCAACAGAAUUCUACAGGUGUUACCAGAGAGGAAGCACGAGGCCUGCUAAUAGUCAGAGCUGAAUUGCAGAAACCAGCAAGACACCCACAGUUAAUCCACAACAAGCUGCAACUACUAUAAACUAUAAAAUCCUUAUCCACAUUUUCCAUAUACCUCCAGAUUCCAGAUUCAAUGGAGUCAUCCUAGAGUCUGUUUCUUGAAGACACAAAAAUAUAAUAACAUUUAUGUUGACUUCAUUUGUAAGCAACUACAUUCAUGUACAUAAGCAACUGAAUAUCCAUCUUACACUGUCAGAGUAACCAAUUAGCAACCAUCACUUAAAUCUGCGGUUAAUUACUUUUGUAAUUCAUUCAUUUUCU